CUCCCCUUUUGCCUCCCCUUUCAGCUUUCUACCCUUUCUCCCCUUUCGCCUCCCCUUUCAGAUUUCUUCCCUUUCGCCUCCCAAUCUCCGAACUCCUUGAACUCCCUUCUCCAGACGACGACGAGGUCCAUCAUCGGCACUGCCCCCUCGUGGCCAUCUCCCCACUCCAACGCCGCCUGUACCUCUUCUACUACACGACAAACGGGCUACAACCACUCUUUGGAGUCUACCAUUGAAGCCUCCAAAUCUCGCCUUUCUCAGAUUCGUUCCACCUCUUAUCCUCAUUUCCAAAAGAGAUGUCAUGGCUAGUGCCGAUUUCUUUGCAAUCUUUAAAAUUAUUUUCUUUGUUUUCAAGAAUUUGUGUAGGUUGGUGAUGAAACAUUUUGGUAGCUUACAAUGUGUUUGAUGAAAUGCCUCAAUGAAGCAUUUGGUUGAUUUUUGAUUGAUUUUUGUUCGUUCGAAUUAGGAAAUCAAGGCCAAAGGAGAUGUCAUGGCUAUGGGCUGAAGUUUUGAGAAAAAAAGAAUGAAAAAUGAAAUGUGAGAUCUUAAACUUUGAUGGUGUGUAGGGUCUUUUUGUUUGUCUAUGCAUUUUCCAAGUGAAUUUUAGUACUUUUGAUUUUUCUAUUGAUAUUUUGUUUAUGGUUGCUAUUGAGUUGCUUUGAUUGAAGGAUAGAGGGAAGUGAUUAUUGAUAAUUAUAGGGCUUGAAGAAUCCUUGAGAGAGUGACAAUGCUUGUUGAAUUUUUAUGAAAAUGCAACAUUGAAAAAGAAUUGGUGCAAGGGUUUGAUCAAGAGGCUGCUGCAGUUGUU